GAUGAACGCUGGCGGCAGGCCUAACACAUGCAAGUCGAGCGGUUGAGGUAGCUUGCUACCGAUGCAGCGGCGAACGGGUGAGUAAUACAUGGGAAUCUGCCUGGUAGUGGGGGACAACGCUUCGAAAGGAACGCUAAUACCGCAUACGCCCUACGGGGGAAAGGGGGGGAUCGCAAGACCUCUCGCUAUCAGAUGAGCCC
rnacentral:rRNA from 1 species